AGUGAACGCUGGCGGUAGGCCUAACACAUGCAAGUCGAACGGCAGCACAGUAAUAGCUUGCUCUUACGGGUGGCGAGUGGCGGACGGGUGAGGAAUACAUCGGAAUCUACUUUUUCGUGGGGGAUAACGUAGGGAAACUUACGCUAAUACCGCAUACGACCUACGGGUGAAAGUAGGGGAUCUUCGGACCUUGCGCGAUUGAAUGAGCCGAUGUCGGAUUAGAUAGUUGGCGGGGUAAAGGCCCACCAAGGCGACGAUCCGUAGCUGGUCUGAGAGGAUGAGCAGCCACACUGGAACUGAGACACGGUCCAGACUCCUACGGGAGGCAGCAGGGGGGAAUAUUGGACAAUGGGCGCAAGCCUGAUCCAGCCAUACCGCGUGGGUGAAGAAGGCCUUCGGGUUGUAAAGCCCUUUUGUUGGGAAAGAAAAGCAGCAGGUUAAUACCCCGCUGUUCUGACGGUACCCAAAGAAUAAGCACCGGCUAACUUCGU
rnacentral:rRNA from 1 species